CCGGCGCGCAAAAUUCUGACGUCACUGUGUGCCGGCAGCGGCAUUUUGCGGCCACCCGGUGGCAGCCCGACAGUUUCCCUUACCUUGUUUCGCCUGCUGUGCGCGUUCGUUUUAAAUAUAGUUUGCCACCGUUGCUUUCUACUUGUUGCGAAUGUGUGAAGGUGUAACGUUACGUACGUGCGAUGCCGAGCCAACGUUGUGUGGCAGCGUGUUAAGCGAAAAACCUACGUGGAAGAAGGUACUGGCCUUUUCAUUUCCUAAAGAUCAAAGCACUCUGAAGAAAUGGGUCCGUUCCAUUUCUAGGAAGGACCUUGCACCGACGUCGUAGACAAAGACGCAGGCCUGCCUUUGGACGUCUGCCGAAACACGAAGCUCAAACGACCGCGCGAGCAAAAUGGAUUCCAGGAGGAGCCCCAGUGGACCCACCUCUGUGAAGUGCGCACAAGCCGAGAACAGGAGGGAAUACAGGUGGACUUCCAGAGGAAGAGGAACUUCGUAUAGGCAGCAGCCGACACUUGGCUGCGAGCGAGUCCCACAGAG